GACGAACGCUGGCGGCGUGCUUAACACAUGCAAGUCGAACGGAAAGGCCCUGCUUUUGUGGGGUGAUCGAGUGGCGAACGGGUGAGUAACACGUGAGUAACCUGCCCUUGACUUUGGGAUAACUUCAGGAAACUGGGGCUACUACCGGAUAGGAGCUCCUGCUGCAUGGUGGGCGUUGGAAAUUUUCGGCGGUUGGGGAUGGACUCGCGGCUUAUCAGCUUGUUGGUGGGGUAGUGGCUUACCAAGGCUUUGACGGGUAGCCGGCCUGAGAGGGUGACCGGGCACAUUGGGACUGAGAUACGGCCCAGACGCCUACGGGAGGCAGCAGUGGGGAAUAUUGCACAAUGGGAGGAAGCCUGAUGCAGCAACGCCGCGUGCGGGAUGACGGCUUUCGGGUUGUAAACCGCUUUCGCCUGUGACGAAGCGUGAGUGACGGUAAUGGGUAAAGAAGCACCGGCUAACUACGUG
rnacentral:rRNA from 1 species